rnacentral:rRNA from 1 species
UGGCUGUCGUCAGCUCGUGUUGUGAAAUGUUGGGUUAAGUCCCGCAACGAGCGCAACCCUUAUUGUCAGUUGCCAGCAUUAAGUUGGGCACUCUGGCGAGACUGCCGGUGAUAAACCGGAGGAAGGUGGGGAUGACGUCAAGUCAUCAUGUCCCUUACGAGUAGGGCUACACACGUGCUACAAUGGCAUCUACAGUGGGUUAAUCCCCAAAAGAUGUCUCAGUUCGGAUUGGGGUCUGCAACUCGACCCCAUGAAGUCGGAAUCGCUAUUAAUCGCGUAACAGCAUGACGC